rnacentral:rRNA from 1 species
GAUGAACGCUGGCGGCGUGCCUAAUACAUGCAAGUCGAGCGAACAGACGAGGAUCUUGCUCGUCUGACGUUAGCGGCGGACGGGUGAGUAACACGUGGAUAACCUACCUAUAAGACUGGGAUAACUACGGGAAACCGGAGCUAAUACCGGAUAAUAUAUUGAACCGCAUGGUUCAAUAGUGAAAGACGGUUUUGCUGACACUAAUAGAGGGAUCCGCGCCGCAUUAGCUAGUUGGUAAGGUAACGGCCUACCAAGGCAACGAUGAGCAGCCGACCGGAGAGGGUGAUCACUCACACUGGAAAUGAGACACGGUCCAGACUCCUACGGGGGGAAGCAGAGGGGAAUAUUAGCCAAUGGGCGAAAGCCUAAAGCAGCCAAGCCGCGUAUGUGAGGAGGGUCUUCGGAUUGUAAAGCUCUUUAAGUAGGAAGGAAGAAUAGUAAGUUAAUACCUUACUGUUUUGACGUUACCAACAGAAUAAGCACCGGCUAACUUCGUG